UACAGAGGUCUCAAGCGUUGUUCGGAUUCAUUGGGCGUAAAGGGUGCGCAGGCGGCCGAGUGUGUGAGGCGUGAAAGCCCGGGGCUUAACCCCGGAAUUGCACCUCAAACUACACGGCUAGAGCAUUGGAGAGGGUAGCAGAAUUCACGGUGUAGCAGUGAAAUGCGUAGAUAUCGUGAGGAAUACCAGAGGCGAAGGCGGCUACCUGGACAAUUGCUGACGCUCAGGCACGAAAGCGUGGGGAGCAAAAGGG
rnacentral:rRNA from 1 species